ACUUCCAUGACGAUUCUCAUUGACUUUUGUUCUUCUGAGGUUUCUGAAGCAACUUGAUUUUCUGAGAAGU
rnacentral:snoRNA from 1 species